AGAGUUUGAUCCUGGCUCAGAACGAACCCUGGCGGCGUGCCUAACACAUGCAAGUCGUACGAGAAAAUCCGCUUCGGCGGGUGAGUAAAGUGGCGCACGGGUGAGUAACGCGUGGAUAAUCUGCCUUUAAGCGGGGAAUAACUUACCGAAAGGUGGGCUAAUACCCCAUAAAGCUAUGGAGCUCCGGUUUUCAUAGCCAAAGAGAGCCUCUGCAUGCAAGCCCUCACUUAGAGAUGAGUCCGCGUACCAUUAGCUAGUUGGUGGGGUAAUGGCCUACCAAGGCGACGAUGGUUAGCUGGUCUGAGAGGAUGAUCAGCCACACUGGAACUGAGACACGGUCCUGACUCCUACGGGAGGCAGCAGUGAGGAAUAUUGCGCAAUGGGGGCAACCCUGACGCAGCAACGCCGCGUGAGUGAGGAAGGUUUUCGGAUCGUAAAGCUCUGUCGGGUGGGAAGAAAUGUAUGGAGGUUAACAGCCUUUGUACUUGACGGUACCGCCAAAGGAAGCACCGGCUAACUCCGUGCCAGCAGCCGCGGUAAUACGGGGGGUGCUAGCGUUGUUCGGAAUCAUUGGGCGUAAAGAGCGUGUAGGCGGCUAGGCAAGUCAGAUGUGAAAUCCCUGGGCUUAACCCAGGACGUGCAUUUGAAACUGCUUGGCUUGAGUAGGGAAGAGGGAAGUGGAAUUCCAGGUGUAGGGGUGAAAUCUGUAGAUAUCUGGAAGAACACCGGUGGCGAAGGCGAGCUUCUGGCCAUAGACUGACGCUGAGGCGCGAAAGCGUGGGGAGCGAACAGGAUUAGAUACCCUGGUAGUCCACGCUG
rnacentral:rRNA from 1 species